GACGUUGUGGAGCAAUGGAGUGCGCCUGUAUGCAGGAGACCUGGGUUCGAUUCCCAGUGAAGUCA
rnacentral:tRNA from 1 species